AUUGAACGCUGGCGGCAUGCCUUACACAUGCAAGUCGAACGGCAGCACGGGUGCUUGCACCUGGUGGCGAGUGGCGAACGGGUGAGUAAUACAUCGGAACAUGUCCUGUAGUGGGGGAUAGCCCGGCGAAAGCCGGAUUAAUACCGCAUACGAUCUACGGAUGAAAGCGGGGGACCUUCGGGCCUCGCGCUAUAGGGUUGGCCGAUGGCUGAUUAGCUAGUUGGUGGGGUAAAGGCCUACCAAGGCGACGAUCAGUAGCUGGUCUGAGAGGACGACCAGCCACACUGGGACUGAGACACGGCCCAGACUCCUACGGGAGGCAGCAGUGGGGAAUUUUGGACAAUGGGCGAAAGCCUGAUCCAGCAAUGCCGCGUGUGUGAAGAAGGCCUUCGGGUUGUAAAGCACUUUUGUCCGGAAAGAAAUCCUUGGCCCUAAUACGGUCGGGGGAUGACGGUACCGGAAGAAUGAGCACCGGCUAACUACGUG
rnacentral:rRNA from 1 species